GAUUAUUUAUUAGUUUUAUAAUUUCAUAUCAAAAUAUUUCAAUUUAAAAUAUUAAAUACUUCAUUAAAUUGUGUGUAAUUGUGGAAAUAUUACAAUCAAUUAGUUUAUUUAGACAAAACCCUACAUUCUUACAAUAUGACUGAAAUAUGACCACGCAUUCACUUCAAUCCCCUCACCCGGAUGCAUCGAUCUUCAAAUCCCUGGACCGCAAGUACGGUAAAAUAAGGCAGCCAUAUUGGUCAUCGGUUUGACUUGUUUUGUAUGUUUGUGCUGAUGUCGUCCUCUCCUUGUCUUUGACUGUGAGGGCAGUACUGUUCAGCUGUGACUCAUCACCAAUCAGAGCAAAGCAGUUUCUCUACUAAUAGUGAGGAAGUACCUCGAGUGGCUCCAGUUACGUAACAUAGUUAUCAAAUAUAAAAUAACAUGGCAAGUUUGGAAUCAACUGAAACCAACCUAACCUAAUUGCUUAUAAAGUGAACUUUCAUUAUCAAUGAUAUAGGGUGGUGCUGUAUUAAAAAUUAUAAAGAAAAAUACAGGACUUCUAUGAAUGCAUUUUCUCUUCAGGAAGUACUUUUUACUGUUAAUAUUUGAUAUUAUAUAGCUAAAUAUAAUAACGCAUAACCUAUAACAGAUGACAUGAAUGUAUUGUUUAUUAUUAUUUAUGAUAUACAAGAUUUUCUUCGUAAAGGUUCUAAAACAAUUAGUGAUUAUUUACAGUACCCUGCUUUAUGCUUCCUUGUGAGGAAGCAGUGAACACAAAGAAGAAGGUAGAACAUAUUCACCUCAUGCACGAGUCUGUUCAAAACAUUUCACUAACAGUGAGUGUUAAAAUGUAAUGCUGUCUCAAUUGCUAAACGAAAUACUGUAUUUAAGACAUAGCACAUGCAAGGACUAGUACGUCUAUGGUUUAAUUUAUUGUAUGCAAUGGCUAUAGUGAUGGUAACUAUCCAAAUGUUCCAGCACGCAAGCAAGAAUAUUAUAAACUAAAAUAGUACUUGCGAGCAAACUUUUGUGCUUUUAAUGCUUUUUAGUGAUAUUACAUCUAUAUAAACAUCAUGUUAAUAUAUAUUAGUCUUUUCUAUAUGUUCUUUCAAACUUAAAGAAAAUUUACACAGAAAAUUUUUUGUAAAAGACAUAAUAGAAUUUAUUAAUUCCAUAGUUGACAUAUGGCGCUGAAAAUAUGCUAUUGAUUCUUUGAACUUUAAAUGACUAAAUGCACUUAUAUCUCAUUUUGAUUUGACACCAAUUUUUGUAUGUCUCCCUGUUACUUCUUUCUAAAUUUUUGUAAUUGAUAGAGAAGGAAAAUUUAAAUAAUGAAGAAGAUGUAUGGAAUGUACCUGCAGCUCUUGAUUUCACUUCAUAACAAUUUUUUUUAUCAAACUUCUUCAUGUGUGUGUACUUGGCAUACUUCUUUUGAAAAUAAAAUAAAUUUAAUUUACAAAAGGUAUAUUUUAUUUGAAAAAAGGUGAAUAUCAUUUGAAAUUAGGUAUGUAUGACCUACAAAAGAUUGAAUUUUGAGAGCAAAACCUGUAUUACAAAUAUGUAAUCUUAAAUAAAAGCACUAUAUAUGUAAAUGUUUCAACUGUAUGAAAACAAUUUAAGUAAAUAGGUAACUAAUUUAAAAAAUACAUGUCUAACAAUUUAAAACA